AUUGAACGCUGGCGGCAUGCCUUACACAUGCAAGUCGAACGGUAACAGGUUAAGCUGACGAGUGGCGAACGGGUGAGUAAUAUAUCGGAACGUGCCCGGUCGUGGGGGAUAACGUAGCGAAAGCUACGCUAAUACCGCAUACGAUCUACGGAUGAAAGCGGGGGAUCGCAAGACCUCGCGCGAUUGGAGCGGCCGAUAGCAGAUUAGGUUGUUGGUGAGGUAAAAGCUCACCAAGCCUGCGAUCUGUAGCUGGUCUGAGAGGACGACCAGCCACACUGGAACUGAGACACGGUCCAGACUCCUACGGGAGGCAGCAGUGGGGAAUUUUGGACAAUGGACGCAAGUCUGAUCCAGCAAUGCCGCGUGCAGGACGAAGGCCUUCGGGUUGUAAACUGCUUUUGUACGGAACGAAACGGUGAGCUCUAAUACAGUUUGCUAAUGACGGUACCGUAAGAAUAAGCACCGGCUAACUACGUGCCAGCAGCCGCCGUAA
rnacentral:rRNA from 1 species